UUUAGAGUCCUGGCGUCAGAGUGAACGCUGCGGCAGGCCUAACACAUGCAAGUCGAACGGCAGGCGACAGGGGGAGGCUUGGCUCCCCUGGGUGGGCGGAGUGGCGGACGGGUGAGGAACACAUCGGAAUCUGCCCCGACGUGGGGGAGUAACGUAGGGAAACUUACGCCAAUACCGCAUGAUCUGGAGACAGCAAAGCGGGGGACCGCAAGACCUCGCGCGACGGGAUGAGCCGAUGUCGGAUUAGCUAGUUGGCGGGGUAAAGGCCCACCAAGGCGACGAUCCGUAGCUGGUCUGAGAGGAUGAUCAGCCACACUGGAACUGAGACACGGUCCAGACUCCUACGGGAGGCAGCAGUGGGGAAUAUUGGACAAUGGGCGCAAGCCUGAUCCAGCCAUGCCGCGUGAGUGAAGAAGGCCUUCGGGUUGUAAAGCUCUUUUGUCCGGAAAGAAAAAGCACCGGGUUAACACCCUGGUGUCCUGACGGUACCGGAAGAAUAAGCACCGGCUAACUUCGUG
rnacentral:rRNA from 1 species